rnacentral:rRNA from 1 species
UUGCUACAGGCUUAACACAUGCAAGUCGAGGGGCAGCAUGGUCUUAGCUUGCUAAGGCCGAUGGCGACCGGCGCACGGGUGAGUAACACGUAUCCAACCUGCCGUCUACUCUUGGACAGCCUUCUGAAAGGAAGAUUAAUACAAGAUGGCAUCAUGAGUCCGCAUGUUCACAUGAUUAAAGGUAUUCCGGUAGACGAUGGGGAUGCGUUCCAUUAGAUAGUAGGCGGGGUAACGGCCCACCUAGUCUUCGAUGGAUAGGGGUUCUGAGAGGAAGGUCCCCCACAUUGGAACUGAGACACGGUCCAAACUCCUACGGGAGGCAGCAGUGAGGAAUAUUGGUCAAUGGGCGAGAGCCUGAACCAGCCAAGUAGCGUGAAGGAUGACUGCCCUAUGGGUUGUAAACUUCUUUUAUAAAGGAAUAAAGUCGGGUAUGGAUACCCGUUUGCAUGUACUUUAUGAAUAAGGAUCGGCUAACUCCGUGCCAGCAGCCGCGGUAAUACGGAGGAUCCGAGCGUUAUCCGGAUUUAUUGGGUUUAAAGGGAGCGUAGAUGGAUGUUUAAGUCAGUUGUGAAAGUUUGCGGCUCAACCGUAAAAUUGCAGUUGAUACUGGAUAUCUUGAGUGCAGUUGAGGCAGGCGGAAUUCGUGGUGUAGCGGUGAAAUGCUUAGAUAUCACGAAGAACUCCGAUUGCGAAGGCAGCCUGCUAAGCUGCAACUGACAUUGAGGCUCGAAAGUGUGGGUAUCAAACAGGAUUAGAUACCCUGGUAGUCCACACGGUAAACGAUGAAUACUCGCUGUUCGCGAUAUACUGCAAGCGGCCAAGCGAAAGCGUUAAGUAUUCCACCUGGGGAGUACGCCGGCAACGGUGAAACUCAAAGGAAUUGACGGGGGCCCGCACAAGCGGAGGAACAUGUGGUUUAAUUCGAUGAUACGCGAGGAACCUUACCCGGGCUUAAAUUGCAGAUGAAUUACGGUGAAAGCCGUAAGCCGCAAGGCAUCUGUGAAGGUGCUGCAUGGUUGUCGUCAGCUCGUGCCGUGAGGUGUCGGCUUAAGUGCCAUAACGAGCGCAACCCUUGUUGUCAGUUACUAACAGGUUCCGCUGAGGACUCUGACAAGACUGCCAUCGUAAGAUGUGAGGAAGGUGGGGAUGACGUCAAAUCAGCACGGCCCUUACGUCCGGGGCUACACACGUGUUACAAUGGGGGGUACAGAGGGCCGCUACCACGCGAGUGGAUGCCAAUCCCCAAAACCUCUCUCAGUUCGGACUGGAGUCUGCAACCCGACUCCACGAAGCUGGAUUCGCUAGUAAUCGCGCAUCAGCCACGGCGCGGUGAAUACGUUCCCGGGCCUUGUACACACCGCCCGUCAAGCCAUGGGAGCCGGGGGUACCUGAAGUGCGUAACCGCGAGGAGCGCCCUAGGGUAAAACUGGUGACUGGGGCUAA